UAAAGCGCAUGCAGGUGGUUUGUUAAGUCAGAUGUGAAAGCCCUGGGCUCAACCUAGGAAUCGCAUUUGAAACUGACAAGCUAGAGUACUGUAGAGGGGGGUAGAAUUUCAGGUGUAGCGGUGAAAUGCGUAGAGAUCUGAAGGAAUACCGGUGGCGAAGGCGGCCCCCUGGACAGAUACUGACACUCAGAUGCGAAAGCGUGGGGAGCAAACAGGAUUAGAUACCCUGGUAGUCCACGCCGUAAACGAUGUCUAC
rnacentral:rRNA from 1 species